rnacentral:lncRNA from 13 species
ACACUGAAUAAUCCUUGGGAACUUCUACCAAGUGGAGCAUGGAUAUUUCUUUGUAAUAGGAAAAUAUAAUAAAUAACUUUAUUUGGACUGAGAGCUGGAGAAUAAGAAUAGGACCUGAGACAUCGUAUUGGGCUAAGA